UUGCGUAGGUGGCAAAGUAAGCGGGUAGUGAAAUUGUGUGGCUCAACCAUACACCCAUUAUUUGAACUGCUUAGCUAGAGCAUGGGAGAGGUCACUGGAAUUUCUAGUGUAGGAGUGAAAUCCGUAGAUAUUAGAAGGAACACCGAUGGCGUAGGCAGGUGACUGGCCCAUUGCUGACACUAAGGCACGAAAGCGUGGGGAGCGAACG
rnacentral:rRNA from 1 species